UGCACUGUAUGGUAUCUGCACCCAGUGGCUCCUCCUGCUGGGCUGUUCAUUAAACAGUGCUACAAUAACUCGGCAUCUGGCAUCGUUGGUUUCCAUGCUGCGCUGUGCCUGGAAGCCUGGUAUUUCUGCUGAUACACUU